rnacentral:rRNA from 2 species
CUGCGAGUGAAGCGGGAAAAGCUCAAAUUUAAAAUCUGGCAGUCUUUGGCUGUCCGAGUUGUAAUCUAGAGAAGCAUUAUCCGCGCUGGACCGUGUACAAGUCUCCUGGAAUGGAGCGUCAUAGAGGGUGAGAAUCCCGUCUUUGACACGGACUGCCAGGGCUUUGUGAUGUGCUCUCAAAGAGUCGAGUUGUUUGGGAAUGCAGCUCAAAAUGGGUGGUAAAUUCCAUCUAAAGCUAAAUAUUGGCGAGAGACCGAUAGCGAACAAGUACCGUGAGGGAAAGAUGAAAAGAACUUUGGAAAGAGAGUUAAACAGUACGUGAAAUUGCUGAAAGGGAAACGCUUGAAGUCAGUCGCAUUGUCCAGGGAUCAAUCUUGCUUUUGCUUGGUGUACUUUCUGGUUAAUGGGUCAGCAUCAAUUUUGACUAUUGGAAAAAGAUCAAGGGAAUGUGGCAUCUUUGGAUGUGUUAUAGCCCUUGGUUGCAUACAAUGGUUAGGAUUGAGGAACUCAGCACGCCGCAAGGCCGAGUUUUUAACUACGUACGUGCUUAGGAUGCUGGCAUAAUGGCUUUAAUCGACCCGUCUUGAAACACGGACCAAGGAGUCUAACAUGCCUGCGAGUGUUUGGGUGGAAAACCCGAGCGCGCAAUGAAAGUGAAAGUUGAGAUCCCUGUCGUGGGGAGCAUCGACGCCCGGACUUGACCUUUUGUGACGGUUCCGCGGUAGAGCAUGUAUGUUGGGACCCGAAAGAUGGUGAACUAUGCCUGAAUAGGGUGAAGCCAGAGGAAACUCUGGUGGAGGCUCGUAGCGAUUCUGACGUGCAAAUCGAUCGUCAAAUUUG